rnacentral:rRNA from 1 species
UACGUAUGGAGCAAGCGUUAUCCGGAUUUACUGGGUGUAAAGGGAGUGUAGGUGGCUAGGCAAGUCAGAAGUGAAAGCCCGGGGCUCAACCCCGGGACUGCUUUUGAAACUGCAGGGCUGGAGUGCAGGAGGGGCAAGUGGAAUUCCUAGUGUAGCGGUGAAAUGCGUAGAUAUUAGGAGGAACACCAGUGGCGAAGGCGGCUUGCUGGACUGUAACUGACACUGAGGCUCGAAAGCGUGGGGAGCAAACAGG